AUUGAACGCUGGCGGCAGGCCUAACACAUGCAAGUCGAACGGUAACAGGAAGAAGCUUGCUUCUUUGCUGACGAGUGGCGGACGGGUGAGUAAUGUCUGGGACACUGCCUGAUGGAGGGGGAUAACUACUGGAAACGGUAGCUAAUACCGCAUAACGUCGCAAGACCAAAGAGGGGGACCUUCGUGCCUCUUGCCAUCGGAUGUGCCCAGAUGGGAUUAGCUAGUAGGUGGGGUACCGGCUCACCUAGGCGACGAUCCCUCGCUGGUCUGAGAGGAUGACCAGCCACAAGGGAACUGAGACACGGUCCAGACUCCUACGGGAGGCAGCAGUGGGGAAUAUUGCACAAUGGGCGCAAGCCUGAUGCAGCCAUGCCGCGUGUAUGAAGAAGGCCUUCGGGUUGUAAAGUACUUUCAGCGGGGAGGAAGGGAGUAAAGUUAAUACCGUUGCUCAUUGACGUUACCCGCAGAAGAAGCACCGGCUAACUCCGUG
rnacentral:rRNA from 1 species